CAUCAGAAGAGAUGGUGAAGGAAAUCACACCAGGAUACUAUGAUGAUGUCAUCACUGUUGGACUGAAACCAGAUCGUGAGACAGAAGACACACCUGAGAGCUAUGAUGAUGUCAUGAUGAGCAGACAUGACUCUGAUAUCAAAAAAGGUGUUUUACUUUAUUCAUUUUUUAAAAAUAAUAUAUAUAUAUGGGUUUUUUAG
rnacentral:lncRNA from 1 species